rnacentral:lncRNA from 13 species
CUUGGGUUCUGCUCCAACGCAGCAAUGGCAGCUCGUGUCUUGCACCAUCUCUCCCCACCCCUAACAACUCAAACCUCCAGCUGGAAUUGCCAGCAGGCUUCUCAAGCUUUCUGAGACAAAAGAUAAUUUACUGAAAAAUGCAGAAGCAUGGAGGGGACUGCGUGGGACUGGCAAGCGUGAGAUGCCGCCCUCCUUCCCCUGCCUGGUUCCAGGUUCUAUCCGCCCACUGGCUGGGCCCUGCUCAAGUCUGGCAUGAGCUCAGUUUUGACCACGUGACAGGGACACUGACCAAAUGUGACAGGGUGUGGGAAGGCUGAGGUAGACAGCUGUUCACCUCCUCUUCUUCCCCAGUUACAAAAUCCCGGGUUUUGGGCUGGCCUCAUGACUACCCAGUAUAAAGACUACAUUUCCCAGCCUCCCUUGCAGUAGCAGGUAGUCAUGUGACUAGGUAUUGACAAAGAGGAUAUGCAGAAAUGUCAUAUGACAGCCUCUGGAUACCAUCCCUAAAAGGCAGUUUGUGAGUAUACUGUGAUCCCUUUCUUCUUUGUCCCAUCCUUCCUGGAACAGAGAUAUGAUGGCUGGAGCUUCAGCUGCCCUCCUGGGCCAUGAAGACAAAAGCCACACCCAGGGAUGGCAGAGCAGAUGCUGCAAGGCUCUCUGUCCUGGUAGCUGAACUGCCAAACCGCCCCUGGGCUGCCCACAGGAAGUCUAAUCUUCGCAGAGAGUGUCUCCAUGGAUGUGACCUUGCUUCUGAGUUGGGCAACCUGGAGUGGAGAAAGCUCUCCCAGCAGAGGGACAGCCUGAGCCAAGGUCUGGUGCUGGGAGCAAGGUAUUUGGGCUGAUAACGGGAAGGAGAGUGUGGAGGGAAUGAACCCGGGUAUCCUUGGGGCAAGGGAGGUGGGUGUUCUGUGUACCCAGCUGCUUUGGGGUCCUGCCUGCCUCUUCCAUCCUGAGGAGAGGGUUCUAUACAGGGCCUCUGUACCCCCCUGCAAUGUCAACAUAAGUCCUGGGGUGACUCCCCACCCCAAAACUAAGAGGUUCUGUCCCCCAAGGAGGGGCUUCAGACAUCCCCAAGGAGACAUAUUUGAGGUGCGCAUGUCUUCCUGCCUGAACCCCAUCACCGGCCAGGACAGGAGGAGCCCAGGCAUGAGAUCAGGUAAAAUUCUGGGCUCCAGAUCCAGCCCAGCCUCUCAAGGACUUACAUUAACAGUCAGCUCCACCCUACACCCCUCCACGGUGAAGAUUAGAUCAGACCCACAACUGCUUCCUGUCAGUUCGGCUGCAGAGGGAGUGCUUUCCAGGCACAGAGGAGCUCUCAGGUCCAGGGCACUGUGGCAUUGCUGUGGGCCCCUGCACUCAUGGCUGGUCACCCAGGCAUCUGCUCUCAAAAGGGGCCGAGGGAGCCUCCAGCAUCAAGGCCAAGAGGCUCUAACCAUCCCUGCCUGCCUCAUCUGUGAGUGAGCUUGCUUCCUCCAUCGCUGCAUCAUCAGCUCCACCCUCCACCUUGAUAAGCCGCAGUGUCUUCGUGGCCAGACCGUAAGUUCCGAAGCACAGGGACCAUGUAUGUCUCCCUUGCUGUUGUAAUGCAGCCAAAUCCCCUGGCUCAGAGAGCUUCCCCAGAGGUUGCGCGAGGGAAGGAGGCAGGGGCGGAGUUGGUGGGGGUGUUGGUGCUGAGUCCCUUCAGAGAAGGACUUGACUCACAUGACAGCAACAGCUAAGCUCUCCGGAUUCUGCCUCUUUGUUCCCCUGUGUGAACCCAGCUCCUCCCUCCUCGGGGCCUCAGUGAAGCCACCUAUGAUCUAUACCACGAGGGGUGCCUUGGCUCCUCAAGACCUCUUCAUACAGCUCCGCCAGCCAGGCUCUGGCUGCUGACAACCCAGCAGGUGGGGUCACCUCCCUGGUGGUGCACGUUUCUCUGAGCUGCGCGGAGCUGAGUGCCCCAGAGGAUCUUUCCACCGCCUCCUCCGGCUGCAGCCUCUGCCUCCAAGAGUAACUUAAUUAGCUCACUGUUUUCCAAACAGGCAAAUCGUGACUCAGCACUUUUGCAGAAGGUCUAAAUUUGUCACAACCCCCCAGGUGUCUUUUAGCCAAAUCCUUCGGGA